rnacentral:piRNA from 1 species
UAUAUGACGCGCCCGUAUAAACAAAAUAC